UAGGAGCCGGAUAUGCAAUAGUUUAUGCAUCCACUAGAGGGUACUAUUGGCUUUAAACCGUGACAGGAUUGUUCAACACUAUGGAAAUGUUAUCUGAACCGAAUCAUUCGAAGUACACCGAGGUUAGUCUCACAAAACAGACAUUAGAUGAUUAUGACUACUGGAUCCGAGAAUACACCGAAAAAGCUAAGCCAACGCAACGAAAUGAUCUAGAUUAAACGUCCAUGAUAUUUAUAUUUUAGCCCCCCCUCACCAUUUCUUCAGUCGCGUUACAAUUAAAGCGAGCAAAUAAUCGCGUGUUAUCUUUGAAGAGAACAAGUCCUGACGCGCCAUUUCUGUCCGGUAGGGGAUGCUAGAGUAUCUCUUGAGGAGACUGGAAGACCUGCCUCUGAGCCGGGGAAGUGUGAAGCAAGGUCUUUGUGUACGAUCAUCACCACCUUGUUGCCUUUUGGGAGCCCUCCACUAAGAAUAUACAUCCAGGC